rnacentral:rRNA from 1 species
GACGUAGGGGGCCAGCGUUGCUCGGAAUAACUGGGCGUAAAGGGUCUGUAGGCGGUGUGGCAAGUCGGGAGUGAAAUCUCUGGGCUUAACUCAGAGGCUGCUUCCGAAACUGCUGUGCUGGAGUGCGGGAGAGGCGAGUGGAAUUGCAGGUGUAGCGGUGAAAUGCGUAGAUAUCUGCAGGAACACCCGUGGCGAAGGCAGCAGACUGGAGCACUCCUGACACUGAAACACGAAAGCGUGGGUAGCGAAUGGG